rnacentral:miRNA from 1 species
AAAGGUCACAAUCAACAUUCAUUGCUGUCGGUGGGUUG